AGAUCUCGGGACGUCCGCGCGGAUCCCGCAGCGCGCGUCACAGCCUUUAGGGCAUCCGGCGGCCCCAAGACACCGCUGCCUAGGGUCUCGCUCUGUCAUCCAGACUGGAGUGCAGUGGCGCAAUCAUAGCUCAAGAACUGCCUGGGCUCAAGCAGUUCUCCUGGCUCAACUUCCAAGUAGCUGGGACUGCAGGCAUGUGACACCACACCUGUCGAGACGAGGUCUUGCCAUGUUGCCCAGCCUGGUUUCAAACUUCUGGGUUCAAGUGAUCCUCCUGCCUUGGCCUCCCAAAGUGUGGAGACUACAGGUAUCAAUGUAACUGGAUUACAAAAUACCUACAGAACUGGUAAAGUAUUACUUCUGGGUAUGUCUCUGAGGCUGUUUCCAGAGAAGAUUGGCAUGUGAGUUGGUGGACUGAGUGGGGAAGAUCCAGUCUCAAUGUAAGCAGGUACCAACCAAUCUACCUGGGCUAUGGGCCGAGAUAGAACAUAAAAGGAGAAAAAAGCUUUCCUCUCUCCUCCUGGAGCUAGGAUACUCUUCUCCUCCUGCCUUUGGACAUCAGAACUCCAGGCUCUCUGGACUUGGGACUCCAGACUCUCUGGACUUGGGACUCCAGGAUUUACUCCAGUGAACCCCUCCAGGUCCUCAGGUCUUUGGCAUUUGACUGAGAAUUACUCUAAAGGCUUCCCUGGCCCUGAGGCUUUUGGACUUGGACUGAGCCACACUACCAGUAUCCUGGUGUCUCCAGCUUGCAGAUGGCCAGUCAUGGGACUUCUCGGCUUCCAUAAUUGCAUGAGCCAAUUCCCCAUCUCUCCGUCCGUCCGUCCAUCCAUCCAUCCAUCCAUCCAUCCAUCCAUCCAUCCAUCAUCCACCCAUCCAUCCUAUUAGUUCUGUCUCUCUGGAAAACUCUGACAAAUAUAUCCUCUAUUACUCUGCUGGACGUCUAGACUUCCCUUGAUGACCCCUUUGUAUAUAAAAAGAAAAUCAACACUGCACACUUGGAAUCCUACCUAACUAAACAGGAAGACUAAAUCAGAACUGAGUUUCUAUCCAUAGAAAUAAUAUUACAAUGUAGAAAAGAAAAGACAAGGGGUCCUAUUCCUUGUCAUUACACAGUGGAAUAGAAAAUAUAUAUUUAAAACUCAUAUACAUUUUUUGUUUAAUUACAUUUUAAAAAACAUUUUAAUUUUACCUGGGAAAUCUUUUGUUUUUCAGAAAUAUUGUUUUCUAAGCACCUCAUGAAAAGAUGGCAAACAUUUUGACUCUCUUUUCUGAAGACCAAUAUUCUACAAAUAAUACUAAUCUUCAACAUCUUAGUUUUAUUAAAUGCUCUUUAAUUUCACUUUGUAAGAUUUCUCCAUCAGACGGUUUACACAUCACCUUUUGAGAUUAUUAAAUAUGAAUUUUGUUAAAGUGAUAUGAAGAUAUUGGCAGUUUGAGAGAUCAUUUGGGUUAUUUUUAUUUAUUUAUUUAUUUUUAGAUGGAGUUUCGCUCUUGUUGCUCAGGCUGGAGUGCAAUGGCACGAUCUCAGCUCACCACAACCUCCACCUCCUGGGUUCAAGCAAUUCUCCUGUCUCAGCCUCCCGAGUAGCUGGGAUUACAGGCAUGCGCCACCACGCUUGGCUAAUUUUUAGUAGAGAUGGGGUUUCUCCACGUUGGUCAGGCUAGUCUUGAACUCCUGACCUGAGGUGAUCCACCUGCCUUGGCCUCCCAAAGUGUUGGAAUUACAGGCGUGAGCCACCGCACCCAGCCAUUUGGGUUAUAAUAGGAAUCUUUCCAUAGUGUCUGUUUCCUUUAAAAUAUAUUUAAGACAUAUGCAUAAGGAGCAUAUACAUACCUGUUUCAAGGUAAGAAAAACCAUGUGUAUAAGGAGUUCCUAAAGUUUAUACUGUUUAAACUCAUAAACAUAAGAUCAGAAGAGACAAAAAACAAAAACCUUAUACUAAACUCAGCAGUUCUGAAUUGUGUUCAUAAUAAACCUUUCCUAAUAGCCUUUUACUUUUUCAUCCAAAACAAAUAACUUGUAGUGAACAAGAAGGAAAGUAGGUUAACUGAAUUUUUUUUUUUUUUUUUUGAGAUGGAGUUUUGCUCUUGUUGCCCAGGCUGGAGUGCAAUGGCGGGAUCUUGACUCACUGCAACCUCCGCUUCCUGGGUUCAAGCAAUUCUCCUGCCUCAGCCUCCCAAGUAGCUGGGAUUACAGGUAUACACUACCAUGCCUGGCUAAUUUUGUAUUUUUUAGUAGAGAUGGGGUUUCACCAUGCUGGUCAGGCUGGUCUUGAACUCUUGACCUCAGGUGACCCACCUGCCUUGGCCUCCCAAAGUGUUGGAAUUACAGGCAUAAGCCACUGCACCCAGCUUAUUAACUUAAUUGUUUAAAGUCUCCUACAUACUUCGUGGAGGAAAGUGAGAUUCUAAUUUUGGGGGUUGGGAUUGGGGAGUAGAGAAGUGGAUAAGAAUGAUGGGCAAAACUUUGGUUCUUAUAUAUAUGCUGCUGCUUUUUAAAAAAUGAAGUUUUUAUUCAAUUGGGAAAAUCAUACUGGGAGAGGGUAACAGUACUAUAAAAAGUUAAUCAUCCAGUCAUGAAUUACAUUUAAAACUGUAAGGUGCAGGAUGGCAAGAGCAGCAAGAAGAUCAACAUUGCCAACUGUGGACAACUCGAAUAAGUUUGACUUGUGUUUCACCUUAACCACCAGACCAUUCCUUCUGUAGCUCAGGAGAGCACCCCUCCACCCCAUUUGCUCACAGUAUCCUACACUCAUUGUGCUCUCACUGCAGUUCCCUUUAGGUUCCGUGUUUUCCUUGUUCCCUUCCAUGCCUAGCUGGAUUGCAGAGUUAAGUUUAUGAUUAUGAAAUAAAAACCAAAUAACAAACAAAACAAAA